GGGGUGUAGGGUCGGUGGGGGUGAAUUCAGGGCUGGUGAGGUGCAGGGCAGCCUCCCUAGAGGUGGCCUCUAGCCGGUAGGGCUUGAGUACAGAGUCUAUUAAAAUCGUGCAUCUCUUGAGGGGAAAUGUCUCUGCCCCAUCAGGCUGGUUGGAGGCGGAACGCCGCCCAUGCCUCGGGAGCCCAUGGGAGAUCCGGGACCCACCCACGGUGACGGCCUGGACUCAGCCUCCCGGAGUCUCUGUGGGGGACAGAAAAGAGCUCCUGCUGGCACUGGGGUGCUGCAGCUACUAAGCCUCGACGGUGAAGUGCAGGAACCUGAAUUAGCGGUUUCCCCGGCCUCCACCUCCCAGCGUUUCGAGGAGGCAGUUCCUGAAGCAGAAGUUUGAUGCGGAGGGGACCCGGGCGCUGGAGGCCGGGAGGAGUGAGCUGCGGAGGGACCAGGGCACCGGAGGCCGGGAAGAGUGAGCUGCCUGCCUGAGCUGCUGCCCCGAGACCCUCCUCCCUCCAUCCUGAGCAAGCUUCCGGCCCGGCAUGUCCCCCCAGCUGCUCCCUUCCCCUCAGGUGUGUGGCUGACAGUCUGUCGGCCCCUCAUUUCCAGGCACUGACCAGGGACUGGACUCCUGGAAGAAGCCGGCCUCUGGACUUAGGCUUAAACGUCCUCUGGUUUGAAGACACGAGACUCUGGAUUUGCCCAGUACUUGGGGUUCUCAGCUUUUCUCCAAAGUGGCCAUCACAGUGACCAGCACUGGCCCAGUGAUGGUGCCCCAUGGGAGCUACAAGGACCAGCGUGAGACCCUGGCGGCAGCAUCUGUAAGGUCCCAGGUGGCCACACCACAAGCUCCACAGAAGCACAGAAGAACUGCCUUGUGCCAGCACAGGGCACGCAGGGACGUCUGGGUGCCUCAGCUGUCAGCCUCUCUACCCGCAGGCAGCGUCCAGUGCAUCUGUGUGGGACGCCCACAGUUGGGCCUGGUGCUGGGAGAGUAAUGAGGAGCCUCCCGGCCUCCCCAGACCCUGUCCUUGAUUGGGGAAGGCCACGUGGCCAUCAUAACACACACAUCGCCAAACUUCGGCUUCCAGCUCCGGGGAAGUGUAUUUAAAUGCAGCAAACAGACGUCAGGGUAAUUGUCCCCGCUGGGGCUGGGACAGGGUCCAGGCCUUCCUGAGAAUGGGGCAGAAGCAUGUCACGCAAGUAAGAGACGGUGAACCUGGGCAAAGGUGGCGGCACCGAAACAGCCAGGCACAGAGGAGGAUCGAGGCUGCCCCCACCUCCCAUUUGCCACAAGGAAGAGAAGGAUUGGGAGGAGGGUGAGUGAGGGCAGCCCACUAGAGGAAGCUGUCGGCUCAAUUCCGGAUGACUCGGGAGGCUCCACAGUGCCACAGGAGCCAGCCAGGGGCCCAGGUAGCCGAGGACGGGCUGGCGGCUGCGUUGGCUGCACUCAUUUUUAAAACGACACAGUACUUCUGGAUUGGAGGCGUGACGAGCUAUUUGUAGACACAUCUUUGUGGAUAAGGAAGUAGCGCUGGUUGACAGAACUCUCCACCCUCCAGCACGGCUGGGGAGGAUUGGGCUCUUCGUCUACGGGUGGGGCGGGGGCAGCCAGAGUCCCCAGGUGGGCGCUGGGGGGGCCAGGUUUGGGGAAUGGGCUGUCAAGAAGCUGUGACACUGGUGGAAAGGGAAGGGCCCUGGGCUCGGCCAGGCGGGACUGGGUCCCUCUCCCCAGCCCUUGGCUCUGUCACUAGGGGAGUAACAGAAUAAUAAUGCCACCGCAGGCGCUCGUGACAG
ensembl:lncRNA